UACGUAGGGUGCAAGCGUUGUCCGGAAUUAUUGGGCGUAAAGAGCUCGUAGGCGGCUCGUCGCGUCGGCUGUGAAAACCUGGGGCUCAACCCCGGGCCUGCAGCCGAUACGGGCGAGCUAGAAUUCGGUAGGGGAGACCGGAAUUCCUGGUGUAGCGGUGAAAUGCGCAGAUAUCAGGAGGAACACCGGUGGCGAAGGCGGGUCUCUGGGCCGAUAUUGACGCUGAGGAGCGAAAGCGUGGGGAGCGAACAGG
rnacentral:rRNA from 1 species